rnacentral:rRNA from 1 species
UACGAAGGGGGCUAGCGUUGUUCGGAAUCACUGGGCGUAAAGGGCGCGUAGGCGGCUUUGUAAGUUAGAGGUGAAAGCCCGGGGCUCAACUCCGGAAUUGCCUUUAAGACUGCAUCGCUAGAAUUGUGGAGAGGUAAGUGGAAUUCCGAGUGUAGAGGUGAAAUUCGUAGAUAUUCGGAAGAACACCAGUGGCGAAGGCGACUUACUGGACACAUAUUGACGCUGAGGUGCGAAAGCGUGGGGAGCAAACAGG